ACUUUUUAACGGCACAAAAACCCUGCCCGAGGGGCACAGCGACGUUGGAGCUGCGCUUCGGGCAAUUCCCAGUGUUCGCCUUCUCUGCGGGAGCCGUGAGGGGCUGUGCCACGCGUGCCUCUGGGCGCGGCCCCGGACGCCGUGCUCCACCGCAAGGUAACACUGCUAAAAUGGCAGUUGAGCUGACAAUCCUCUGAUGUGGGGCAUAUCCAGUAGCAGAGCUGUAAUCCUCAAGGGUCAGCUGCUCACCUCUGAAUUGCAUUUCCCAGCACACAGUACUGCUGGAAGAUGAGGUUGUCCGUUCCUCAGAGAAGUGAACUGUAAGGAAAGAUUGUGAACGGGAGCUUUGCCUUGUAUCUCCGGUUUUCCCAUCGCCUGCUUGAUCUGACAUGACUUCUGUGUGCAAGUGUGCAAAAGCAGGUGUGGAGGACAGGAUUUGACAGCUGCAUACAGAGGAGAUGUAGCAUGGCCGGGUGGUGGAUGGACAAACACAUAAGCACUG
ensembl:lncRNA